GGGUUGUGAGGUUAAGCGACUAAGCGUACACGGUGGAUGCCCUGGCAGUCAGAGGCGAUGAAGGACGUGCUAAUCUGCGAAAAGCGUCGGUAAGGUGAUAUGAACCGUUAUAACCGGCGAUGUCCGAAUGGGGAAACCCAGUGCAAUUCGUUGCACUAUCGUUAACUGAAUACAUAGGUUAACGAGGCGAACCGGGGGAACUGAAACAUCUAAGUACCCCGAGGAAAAGAAAUCAACCGAGAUUCCCCCAGUAGCGGCGAGCGAACGGGGAGCAGCCCAGAGUCUGAAUCAGCUUGUGUGUUAGUGGAACGGUCUGGAAAGUCCGACGGUACAGGGUGAUAGUCCCGUACACCAAAAUGCACAGGUUGUGAACUCGAAGAGUAGGGCGGGACACGUGGUAUCCUGUCUGAAUAUGGGGGGACCAUCCUCCAAGGCUAAAUACUCCUGACUGACCGAUAGUGAACCAGUACCGUGAGGGAAAGGCGAAAAGAACCCCGGCGAGGGGAGUGAAAAAGAACCUGAAACCGUGUACGUACAAGCAGUGGGAGCACCUUCGGGUGUGACUGCGUACCUUUUGUAUAAUGGGUCAGCGACUUAUAUUCUGUAGCAAGGUUAACCGUAUAGGGGAGCCGCAGGGAAACCGAGUCUUAACUGGGCGUUAAGUUGCAGGGUAUAGACCCGAAACCCGGUGAUCUAGCCAUGGGCAGGUUGAAGGUUGGGUAACACUAACUGGAGGACCGAACCGACUAAUGUUGAAAAAUUAGCGGAUGACUUGUGGCUGGGGGUGAAAGGCCAAUCAAACCGGGAGAUAGCUGGUUCUCCCCGAAAGCUAUUUAGGUAGCGCCUCGUGAACUCAUCUUCGGGGGUAGAGCACUGUUUCGGCUAGGGGGUCAUCCCGACUUACCAACCCGAUGCAAACUACGAAUACCGAAGAAUGUUAUCACGGGAGACACACGGCGGGUGCUAACGUCCGUCGUGAAGAGGGAAACAACCCAGACCGCCAGCUAAGGUCCCAAAGUCAUGGUUAAGUGGGAAACGAUGUGGGAAGGCACAGACAGCCAGGAUGUUGGCUUAGAAGCAGCCAUCAUUUAAAGAAAGCGUAAUAGCUCACUGGUCGAGUCGGCCUGCGCGGAAGAUGUAACGGGGCUAAACCAUGCACCGAAGCUGCGGCAGCGACACUAUGUGUUGUUGGGUAGGGGAGCGUUCUGUAAGCCUGCGAAGGUGUGCUGUGAGGCAUGCUGGAGGUAUCAGAAGUGCGAAUGCUGACAUAAGUAACGAUAAAGCGGGUGAAAAGCCCGCUCGCCGGAAGACCAAGGGUUCCUGUCCAACGUUAAUCGGGGCAGGGUGAGUCGACCCCUAAGGCGAGGCCGAAAGGCGUAGUCGAUGGGAAACAGGUUAAUAUUCCUGUACUUGGUGUUACUGCGAAGGGGGGACGGAGAAGGCUAUGUUAGCCGGGCGACGGUUGUCCCGGUUUAAGCAUGUAGGCUGGUUGUCCAGGCAAAUCCGGAUAAUCAAGGCUGAGGUGUGAUGACGAGGCACUACGGUGCUGAAGUAACAAAUGCCCUGCUUCCAGGAAAAGCCUCUAAGCAUCAGGUAACAUUAAAUCGUACCCCAAACCGACACAGGUGGUCAGGUAGAGAAUACCAAGGCGCUUGAGAGAACUCGGGUGAAGGAACUAGGCAAAAUGGUGCCGUAACUUCGGGAGAAGGCACGCUGGUGUGUAGGUGAAGCCCCUGCGGGUGGAGCUGAGACCAGUCGAAGAUACCAGCUGGCUGCAACUGUUUAUUAAAAACACAGCACUGUGCAAACACGAAAGUGGACGUAUACGGUGUGACGCCUGCCCGGUGCCGGAAGGUUAAUUGAUGGGGUUAUCCGUAAGGAGAAGCUCUUGAUCGAAGCCCCGGUAAACGGCGGCCGUAACUAUAACGGUCCUAAGGUAGCGAAAUUCCUUGUCGGGUAAGUUCCGACCUGCACGAAUGGCGUAAUGAUGGCCAGGCUGUCUCCACCCGAGACUCAGUGAAAUUGAACUCGCUGUGAAGAUGCAGUGUACCCGCGGCAAGACGGAAAGACCCCGUGAACCUUUACUAUAGCUUGACACUGAACAUUGAGCCUUGAUGUGUAGGAUAGGUGGGAGGCUUUGAAGCGUGGACGCCAGUCUGCGUGGAGCCAACCUUGAAAUACCACCCUUUAAUGUUUGAUGUUCUAACGUUGGCCCCUGACCGGGGUUGCGGACAGUGUCUGGUGGGUAGUUUGACUGGGGCGGUCUCCUCCCAAAGCGUAACGGAGGAGCACGAAGGUUAGCUAAUCCUGGUCGGACAUCAGGAGGUUAGUGCAAUGGCAUAAGCUAGCUUGACUGCGAGCGUGACGGCGCGAGCAGGUGCGAAAGCAGGUCAUAGUGAUCCGGUGGUUCUGAAUGGAAGGGCCAUCGCUCAACGGAUAAAAGGUACUCCGGGGAUAACAGGCUGAUACCGCCCAAGAGUUCAUAUCGACGGCGGUGUUUGGCACCUCGAUGUCGGCUCAUCACAUCCUGGGGCUGAAGUAGGUCCCAAGGGUAUGGCUGUUCGCCAUUUAAAGUGGUACGCGAGCUGGGUUUAGAACGUCGUGAGACAGUUCGGUCCCUAUCUGCCGUGGGCGCUGGAGAAUUGAGGGGGGCUGCUCCUAGUACGAGAGGACCGGAGUGGACGCAUCACUGGUGUUCGGGUUGUCAUGCCAAUGGCACUGCCCGGUAGCUAAAUGCGGAAGAGAUAAGUGCUGAAAGCAUCUAAGCACGAAACUUGCCCCGAGAUGAGUUCUCCCUGAGACUUUAAGUCUCCUGAAGGAACGUUGAAGACGACGACGUUGAUAGGCCGGGUGUGUAAGCGCAGCGAUGCGUUGAGCUAACCGGUACUAAUGAACCGUGAGGCUUAACCUUACAACGCCGAAG
rnacentral:rRNA from 2 species